rnacentral:rRNA from 1 species
UCCUACGGGGGGCAGCAGUAGGGAAUUUUCGUCAAUGGGCGCAAGCCUGAACGAGCAAUGCCGCGUGAACGAGGAAGGUCUUCGGAUCGUAAAGUUCUGUUGAAGGGGAAGAAGAGCGGAGAGAGGAAAUGGUCUCCGAUUGAUAUUACCCUUCGAGGAAGUCACGGCUAACUACGUGCCAGCAGCCGCGGUAAUACGUAGGUGGCGAGCGUUAUCCGGAAUGAUUGGGCGUAAAGGGUGCGUAGGCGGCCUGCUAAGUCUGGAGUGAAAGGUACCGGCUCAACCGGUACAGGCUCUGGAAACUG